rnacentral:rRNA from 1 species
AACUAACAAGGAUUCCCCUAGUAACGGCGAGUGAACCGGGAAGAGCUCAAAUUUGAAAUCUGGCGUCCUCAGGGCGUCCGAGUUGUAAUCUAUAGAGGCGUUUUCCGUGCCGGACCGUGUCCAAGUUCCUUGGAACAGGAUAUCAAAGAGGGUGACAAUCCCGUACUUGACACGACGACCGGUGCUCUGUGAUACGUCUUCUACGAGUCGAGUUGUUUGGGAAUGCAGCUCAAAAUGGGUGGUGAGUUCCAUCUAAAGCUAAAUAUUGGCGAGAGACCGAUAGCGAACAAGUACCGUGAGGGAAAGAUGAAAAGCACUUUGGAAAGAGAGUUAAACAGUACGUGAAAUUGUUGAAAGGGAAACGAUUGAAGUCAGUCGUGACCGAGAGGCUCAGCCGGUUCUGCCGGUGUAUUCCCCUCGGUCGGGUCAACAUCAGUUUUGUCCGGUGGAUAAGGGCGGUAGGAAGGUGGCACCCUCGGGUGUGUUAUAGCCUGCCGUCGCAUACAUCGGGUGAGACUGAGGAACGCAGCUCGCCUUUAUGGCCGGGGUUCGCCCAC